GAUUGCUCCCUCUUUGCGACGAUAGACCCAUCGCCAUCUUUCCCUUCUAGACCUCAGCAUACACAACAAUCCCAGCUAAUACCCACACCCAACUGUGAUGUCUCACCGUUCAUAGUCCCUCUUCAUCACCAUGACAUAGCAUCUCCAACUCCCUCCAUCCCUUAUUCCUUCAUGCAGAAAGCAUCACCACCAAGGUCGACCUCAUCUCGCCUUGUAUCUUCUCUGAGCCUCAUAGCGGCUAUUAAAGAAGGAUUCUUCAGUUACCUUGUAUAUUUGCUUGGCUACGUUGUGUCCAUUUUACAAGAUAAAAUAGAAUUUUGUUAAGAGAACUGCGAAUUUAAUUUUGCAUUCUACAUUUACUCUCUCCCUUCUCCUUGCCCCUCAGCCGCAACGAGUCUGUAGCUGUAACUAAAAGGUUGAGAAAUGACCGACGCUGUUGUGAGUAAGGCAAUUGAGAAGCUGGAUUUGUUGCUGACCUCAGAAGUUAAGCUGUUGGUUGGUGUCCAUAAAGAAAUUGCAGACGUCAAGGACGAACUGGAAAGCAUCAAAUCUUUCCUCAGAGAUGCAGAUGCCAGGGCGGAUCAAGGAGUCGAUAGCAAUCUCAAUGCCUGGGUCAAACAAGUAAGAAAACUGUCUUACAGCAUAGAAGAUGUCAUCGAUGAUUACACGCAGCAUUUGGCUCGAAACAGGGAUCGCCAUAAUUUGUUGCAUAAGAUCACUCGCUUGGCCAUGAAAUUAAAGCCACGCCACCAGAUAGCCUCACGGAUUCAAGAAUUCAAGAAAUCAGUUCGUGUAAUAAGGGAAAGAUGCGACAGAUAUAACUUCAGUUCUUCUUUAGAACAAGGAGGCAAUGAGGGGCCUAAUACAUGGAAUGACCCUCGGCUGGCUUCCUUGUUCAUCGAGGAAGCUGAACUUGUGGGAAUCGAAGCUCCAAAAAGUAAAGUGGUCAAUUUAUUGUUAGAGGGAACAUCCAAGAGAGCUGUGAUCUCAGUGGUGGGCAUGGGAGGAUUAGGCAAGACCACCCUUGCCAAGAAGGUAUACGACUCUGAGAGGGCUUCAUCACACUUUGAUUGCAAGGCUUGGAUCACAGUAUCUCAAUCCUACAAGAAGGAGGAGCUACUGAGGACCAUGAUAAAGCAAUUGCAACGAGAAAAGCCGCAGCCUGCAUUCGAUGGAAUAGAGAAUAUGGAAGAGUCGCAGCUGAUUACGAAGCUGAGAGAGUUUUUAUCAGAGAAGAGGUAUAUAGUUGUUCUUGAUGAUGUCUGGAGUAUUGAUUUCUGGGGAUAUAUAAGGAAUGCUUGUCCUGAUAAUGACAAAGGCAGUAGAAUCAUUAUCACGACUCGAAGGGUAGAUGUUGCCCCUUCCUCUAAAGAGUCUUCAAUUUAUCAUGUCCACGAACUUCAACCUUUGCCUCGUGACCAAGCUUUUGAGCUGUUUUGCAAGAAGGUAUUCCAAUUAAACGAGGGAAAUUGCCCAUUCGAGUUGCAAGAGUUGUCAGAGGCUAUCGUUCAAAAAUGUGAAGGAUUGCCCUUAGCCAUUGUGACAAUUGGUGGUUUAUUAGCAACUAAAGACAAGAGUACAUCAGAGUGGCAAAGGUUGUGCAAUGGACUUGGUUCAGCAUUAGCAAGCGAUCAGCGGCUCUCAAGUAUUGCAAAAAUUUUAUCCCUAAGCUAUCAUGAUCUGCCUUACCAUCUUAAAUCUUGUUUUUUGCAUUUGAGCCUCUUUCCAGAGAAUUACGCUAUUAAUUGUCGAAGAUUAAUUCGAUUGUGGAUAGCUGAGGGCUUCAUAAAAGAAAGGCAAGGCGUAACAUUGGAAGAUAUUGCAGAGGAAUACUUAAUCGAGCUCUUUCACAGAAGCUUGGUUCAAGUGGCCAGUGUUAGCAUUGAUGGUAGGGCGAAAGAAUGCAAGGUCCAUGAUUUGGUAAGGGAGGUUUUUCUUUCUCUAUCCAAAGAAUUAAGCUUCCAUCAAGUCUCAUUAGAAACAUAUGAGAGUAUGAAUGGAAGAAUCCGGCACCUCUCAAUUUAUGGUGGAGCAACACAUAUUCCAGAAAGUAGCAGCAAUUUUCAAACUCAUUCUAUUAUUGUUUUAGGAGUACAUGAAUUGCCAAAAUCUUUGGUUAGUUCGUUCUUUACAAAUCUUAAGCUUUUGAGAGCUCUAGAUUUUGAAGGAGCACCUUUGGAUCACAUUCCUAAAGAAUUGGGAACUUUAUGGCAUUUGAGAUAUUUAAGCCUAAGAAGGACAAAGGUGAAGAUGAUACCAACAACCAUUGGUAAGCUGUGCAACCUAGAGACUUUGGAUUUGAGAGAUUCCCUUGCGUAUGAUCUGCCUGCUGAGAUCAAUAGGCUGCUUGAAUUGCGACAUCUUCAGGCCUAUUCCGUUAAUUUCGAUGAUGAUUUUGAUGUUAAUACCUAUCGUGGGGUGAAGAUGCACGGCAACAUUGGGUGUCUAAAGGCCUUACAAAAGCUUGAAUACAUCGAAGUAGAUGAUGACAUGGGCUUGGGAUGUUUGACACAGUUGCGAUCAUUAGGGAUCACGAAAUUGAAAAGAGAAAAGGUCAUCGCAUUGUGCUCUGCGUUGGAGAAGAUGACUUGCCUUCGCAGUCUGAGUGUCUUUUCAAUACAUGGGGAUGAAUUUCUGGAUCUGGAAUCAAUUUCUAAUCCCCUUCCUCUCCUUCAACGUCUCUACCUACAUGGCCCAUUAAUGGAGUUGCCAAAUUGGAUUCUCAAGCAAACGAGUUUGGUUAAACUCGAUCUAUUUUGUUCCAGAUUAGGAGAAGGUGCAAUGCAGGACCUCGACGCUUUACCUAAUCUACUAAGAUUAAGGAUUUAUGAGGGAUACAAUGGAGAGCAAUUGCAUUUUAGGAGAGACUGCUUUCAAAAACUCAAGGUGCUGCAUCUACGUUCCUUGACUCCAUUGAAUGUGCUCAUAAUAGACCAAGGAUCACUUCCUCUUCUUGAAGAGCUAAUUAUUGGGCCUUGCCCGAAUUUGAAGGAGGUGCCCUCUGACAUCCAGUUUCUGAGAAAUCUCAAAAAGCUGGAUUUUGAGGACUUAAAGAGAGAAUUUGCAAUUGGAAUGCUACCAGAUGAAGGUCCUGACUAUUGGAAAGUUAAGCAUAUACCAACAGUCCUCUUCUCAUAUAAGAUUACAGGACUCAAUUUUAAAUACUACAAGCUUGGUGAUUCAGACUUGGUGAAACACUUGCACAAGGACUUGGAAUGAUGUGCUAAGUUCAGUUCUUGCAGCUCCAUUAACAGUACAGGUACUUUCUAUUGAUGGUGCUGAGCUUCUCAUUUAGUCCAUGGCUUUCUACUGCCAAGGAGGUUUUAUGCUUUUGUUGUUGUGGCGUUGCAACUCUAGUUCAUCUGCUAUUAGGCUAUCAAGUCUCAGACUUCUAUGACAUUGAAAUUUGUAUCUAAUAAUAUUAUUGUGUCAUUAAAACGUGCAUGCUAUGCUAAACUCUUGGAGUUGAUAGAGUUUUUGGAGAAUAUUUGGUGAAAAAUUAUGCGUGAAAAAAAAGGAAAUAUUUUGGUGGAAUGUGUUUUGUCGAAAAGGAGAAGUUCUCCAUAUUUGUAGCGUUAAAUUUAUGAAGAUUGUCUUGUGUUUGGUGUGUGAUUGUUGAUUUGAUGAAGGUUUCCCUUCGCGCAUCAUAAUUGUUUUUAGAAUAUGACAUGAUAGGACUGCAAUACUAUCAUU
rnacentral:misc_RNA from 1 species